rnacentral:rRNA from 1 species
UGGUGGAGUGAUUUGUCUGCUUAAUUGCGAUAACGAACGAGACCUUAACCUGCUAAAUAGCUCGCGCCGCCCCGGCGGCGCGCCGGCUUCUUAGAGGGACUAUCGGCUCCAAGCCGAUGGAAGUUUGAGGCAAUAACA